rnacentral:rRNA from 1 species
AUGCGUAGGGUGCAAACGUUAUCCGGAUUUAUUGGGCGUAUAGAGAUGCGUAGGCGUUCUUGUAAGUCUUUAGUUAAAUAUCACGGCUCAACCGUGGGUAAGCUUUGGAUACUGCAAGAAUUGAGACAGGAAGGGGCGAACAGAAUUCCCAGUGGAGCGGUGAAAUGCGUUGAUAUUGGGAGGAAUAUCAGUGGCGAAGGCGGUUCGCUGGUCCUUGUCUGACGCUAAGGCUCGAAAGCGUGGGUAGCAAAACGGAUUAGAUACCCGUGUAGUCCACGCCGUAAACUAUGGAUGCUAGGUGUUCGGUACAACUAUUUUUUCCUUCGGGAAAUGAUGGAAGUAUUGAGUGCCGCAGUUAACACGUUAAGCAUCCCGCCUGGGAAGUACGGCCGCAAGGCUAAAACUCAAAUGAAUUGGCGGGGACCCGCACAAGCAGAGGAGCGCGUGGUUUAAUUCGACGGCAAUCGAAGAAUCUUACCAGGGUUUGAAAUGUAUCUGCAUGCCUUAUGAAAGUAGGGAGGCCUUCGAGGGUGAUACACAGGUGCUGCAUGGCCGUCGUCAGCUCGUGUCGUGAGAUGUAGGGUUAAGUCCCGAAACGAGCGCAACCCCCAUCCCAUGUUACAAGUGUCUUGGGAAACUGCCUCGGUAAAACGGGGAGGAAGGUGGGGAUGACGUCUGGUCCGCAUAGCCCUUAUGUCCUGGGCUACACACGCGCUACAAUGGCCGAUACAGUAGGAAGCCAAAUCGUAAGAUGGAGCUAGUCCUCAAAAUCGGUCUCAGUUCGGAUUGAGGUCUGAAACUCGACCUCAUGAAGUUGGAUUUGCUAGUAAUCGUAGAUCAGCAAUGCUACGGUGAAUACGUUCUCGGGUCUUGCACACACCGCCCGUCAAGCCAUGGAAGUAGGUGAUACCCGAAGGUGUCCUGCCGUUAGGUGGGAUGACGAAGGUAACGCUUAUAACUGGGGUU